AACUGGGAUUAGAUACCCCACUAUGCUUAACUGUAAAAUUUAUACACACCAACAAACGCCAGGGUACUACGAGCCUAGCUUAAAACCCAAAGGACUUGACGGUGAUCCCACCCGACUAGAGGAGCCUGUUCUAGAACCGAUAAUCCCCGAUAUACCAAACCAUUUUUGGCCGUCUCAGCCUGUAUACCUCCGUCGUAAGCUUACCGCAUGAGCGCAUAUUAGUGGGCCAAAGGACUUUUUCGCCAUAACGUCAGGUCAAGGUGCAGCUAACGAAAUGGAAGCAAUGGGCUACAAUUUCUAAAUUAGAACAAACGAAACACUACAUGAAACAUAGUCAUGAAGGCGGAUUUAGUAGUAAGUAAGAAAUAGAGCGUUUUACUUAAUAAGGCCCUGGGACAUGUACACACCGCCCGUCACCCUC
rnacentral:rRNA from 1 species